UCCUCUGUUCGAAGGAGCGCUCUGCUUGAAGAGCUGUCUGGUCACAAGAAAUGUGAGCAGAAUCCUUGAAGUUGCCCAUCAAUAGCUAACACCUGGACAACAGACUGAUCUGCCACACUGUACAUCUGGUUACCCUCUUCCUCAUCAUGGUGAGAUAUAUUGUAUUUCAGUUUAAAUCAUAGUGAUAAUUUUUCAGUUGGAACCUUUUAUAUAAAUUGUUGUUGUUGUUGUUGUUUAGUCGCUUAGUCAUGUCCGACUCUUCAUGACCCCAUGGACCAGAGCACGCCAGGCACAUAAAUUAUAAUAUAAAUAUAAUAAUAUAAAUCAGCACAUGCCAAUUUUAUUGAAAUCUGUGUUACCCUGUGGUCCUCUGCUUUGGUGAUCCGUAAGUGUUCGCACUGUAUUGAAUUCAUUUGUGUCUUUUCACACCAGCCAGCGGUAUUUAAGGGCUGCACCGAAUGCAAUUUGCACAUUGGGGUUCAUUCACACAUGCAUGGACCUUAUCUUUUUGACUUUCAGCUGAACUGUCUUUAUUGAACAUUUUUGCAUGUGAGGUUAUAAGAAAGUUCUCAUGGCAGUCUUUGAUGUGGGAUGGUUGUUUCACACAUGGAAAUAAACCUUGAUCUUUUAGUCAGUGAAAAAGAUGGAUAUGGUUGCAGAAGAACAUCAGUAGUUCAUUGUAAAUCAGAAAAAGAAACCGCUAGUCCACAGGUUUGACAUAUAGGAGGGAAGAAGAGGGGUGGUUGGGCUGUGAAUAAUUUUCUCCUGCUACAGCAACUACUGGGUAGGCCAGCGGAGGUCAUCUUAUUAUGGACACAACUUUUAGAUGCCACUGCAUUCACCUCUAUUGUCACAGAGGCUAGAGAUAUGAUCCUUAUAGAAAUGAAAGCGGAUUGUUAGCGAUCAGAAGCCUGUAUUGCAUUUUGGGGCUGGAAAUCAAAUUCUGCACUUCACAGUUCAUUAUUGUCCCCUGUAGAUCUUUGGCUGAAGUUUUCCAUUCUACCUCCUGAAGCAUUUUCUACCAUACAUGUUCUUUUUUUUACAGCAGGGGAUAUAGAAUGUUGUUACAGAACUUCUUAUGUUCCUAAGACCUUGGAAGCAGCCAAUAAAUCUUUCCUGCCAUUAGAAA